CCUACGGGUGGCUGCAGUGGGGGAUAUUGCACAAUGGGGGCAACCCUGAUGCAGCGACGCCGCGUGGGUGAAGAAGCGCCUCGGCGCGUAAAGCCCUGUCAGCAGGGAAGAAAAUGACGGUACCUGAAGAAGUAGCCCCGGCCAACUACGUGCCCGCAGCCGGAGUUAUACGUAGGGGGCAAGCGUUAUACGGAUUUACUGGGUGUAAAGGGGGCGGAGUCGGGGAUGCAAGCCAGGAGUGAAAGCCUGGGGCCCAACCCCGGGACUGCUGUUGGAACUGCGUGGCUGGAGUGAAGGAGGGGCAGGCGGAAGUCCUGGUGUAGCGGUGAAAUGCGUAGAUAUCAGGAGGAACACCAGUGGCGAAGGCGGCCUGCUGGACUGCAACUGACGUUGAGGCCCGAAAGCGUGGGGAGCAAACAGGAUUAGAUACCCCAGUAGUC
rnacentral:rRNA from 1 species